GGAGUCUGGGCCGUGUCUCAGUCCCAAUGUGGCCGAUCAACCUCUCAGUCCGGCUACCGAUCGCGGUCUUGGUGAGCCGUUACCUCACCAACUAACUAAUCGGACGCGAGUCCAUCUCCGAGCGAUAAAAUCUUUGAUAUAUCUGUCAUGCGGCAAAUAUAUGUCAUGCGGUAUUAGCGUUCUUUUCAGAACGUUAUUCCCCUCUCAGAGGCAGGUUACUCACGCGUUACUCACCCGUCCGCCACUAAACUAAAAAUCCGUCAUCCCUAAGGAAUCCUUCAAAAUAGUUCCGUUCGACUUGCAUGUGUUAGGCACGCCGCCAGCGUUCGUCCUCGAGCCGUGAGUCAAACUACU
rnacentral:rRNA from 1 species